AGCGAACGUUUGCGGCGGGCCUAACACAUGCAAGUCGAGGGGCAGCAGGGUGUAGCAAUACAUCGCUGGCGACCGGCGCACGGGUGCGUAACACGUAUGCAACCUACCUUUAACUGGGGAAUAGCCCUCCGAAAGGAGGAUUAACACCGCAUAACAUCACGAGACGGCAUCGCCUUGUGAUCAAACCUCCGGGGGUUAAAGAUGGGCAUGCGUCCGAUUAGCUAGUUGGCGGGGUAACGGCCCACCAAGGCGACGAUCGGUAGGGGGUCUGAGAGGAUGAUCCCCCANACUGGUACUGAGACACGGACCAGACUCCUACGGGAGGCAGCAGUAAGGAAUAUUGGACAAUGGUCGCAAGACUGAUCCAGCCAUGCCGCGUGCAGGAUGAACGAUCUAUGAUCUGUAAACUGCUUUUGUUCGGGAAUAAACCCCUUCACGUGUGGAGGGCUGAAUGUACCGAAAGAUAAGGGUCGGCUAACUUCGUGCCAGCAGCCGCGGUAAAG
rnacentral:rRNA from 1 species